rnacentral:rRNA from 1 species
CCUACGGGGUGCAGCAGUGGGGAAUAUUGCACAAUGGGCGCAAGCCUGAUGCAGCCAUGCCGCGUGUAUGAAGAAGGCCUUCGGGUUGUAAAGUACUUUCAGCGGGGAGGAAGGCGUUGAGGUUAAUAACCUCAGCAAUUGACGUUACCCGCAGAAGGAGCACCGGCUAACUCCGUGCCAGCAGCCGCGGUAAUACGGAGGGUGCAAGCGUUAAUCGGAAUUACUGGGCGUAAAACGCACGCAGGCGGUCUGUCAAGUCGGAUGUGAAAUCCCCGGGCUCAACCUGGGAACUGCAUUCGAAACUGGCAGGCUAGAGUCUUGUAGAGGGGGGUAGAAUUCCAGGUGUAGCGGUGAAAUGCGUAGAGAUCUGGAGGAAUACCGGUGGCGAAGGCGGCCCCCUGGACAAAGACUGAUGCUCAGGUGCGAAAGCGUGGGGAGCAAACAGGAUUAGAUACCCCCGUAGUC